rnacentral:tRNA from 1 species
GGGUGUAGCUCAGUGGUAGAGCACAUGCUUAGCACGCACGAGGUCCUGGGUUCAACCUCCAGUACAUCCA